UACGUAGGGGGCUAGCGUUGUCCGGAAUCAUUGGGCGUAAAGCGCGUGUAGGCGGUCCGGUAAGUCCGCUGUGAAAGUCGAGGGCUCAACCCUCGAAUGCCGGUGGAUACUGUCGGGCUUGAGUACGGGAGAGGCGAGUGGAAUUCCUGGUGUAGCGGUGAAAUGCGCAGAUAUCAGGAGGAACACCGAUUGCGAAGGCAGCUCGCUGGAACGGUACUGACGCUGAGACGCGAAAGCGUGGGGAGCGAACAGG
rnacentral:rRNA from 1 species